rnacentral:misc_RNA from 1 species
AAGUUAUAACAAGGUUUCUGUAGGUAAACCUAUAGAAGGAUUAUUACCUUUCUAGCUAUUUAAUAGCUUAUUAGGGGGCUAUAGUCUCUAUAGCCUCUAACUAAAUCUAUAUUUUUUACGUACUAUAUAUUUCCUCGGUAGGCUUACUCGCUAGUUAGACAACCUAAAACUCUUUGUAAUUGUAAUUAGCGUCUAAAUUAUUUAAUAUUAUAA